UACGGAAGGUGCAAGCGUUAUCCGGAAUCACUGGGUUUAAAGGGUGCGUAGGCGGUUAGAUAAGUCAGAGGUGAAAGCUCAUCGCUCAACGAUGGAAUUGCCUUUGAUACUGUUGGGCUUGAAUCAGAAUGAGGUUAGCGGAAUGUGACAUGUAGCGGUGAAAUGCAUAGAUAUGUCAUGGAACACCGAUUGCGAAGGCA
rnacentral:rRNA from 1 species